ACACAACUCUGGAGAGUCCCUUAAAUGGGCGCCGAAGGUGCACGGGCAGUUUUGCCUUUAUCUCUCAGGCCAGUGGACAGAGACAA
rnacentral:ncRNA from 1 species